AUGAACGCUGGCGGCGUGCCUAAUACAUGCAAGUCGAGCGAACGGACGAGAAGCUUGCUUUUCUGAUGUCAGCGGCGGACGGGUGAGUAACACGUGGAUAACCUACCUAUAAGACUGGGAUAACUUCGGGAAACCGGAGCUAAUACCGGAUAAUAUUUUGAACCGCAUGGUUCAAAAGUGAAAGACGGUCUUGCUGUCACUUAUAGAUGGAUCCGCGCUGCAUUAGCUAGUUGGUAAGGUAACGGCUUACCAAGGCAACGAUGCAUAGCCGACCUGAGAGGGUGAUCGGCCACACUGGAACUGAGACACGGUCCAGACUCCUACGGUAGGCAGCAGUAGGGAAUCUUCCGCAAUGGGCGAAAGCCUGACGGAGCAACGCCGCGUGAGUGAUGAAGGUCUUCGGAUCGUAAAACUCUGUUAUUAGGGAAGAACAUAUGUGUAAGUAACUGUGCACAUCUUGACGGUACCUAAUCAGAAAGCCACGGCUAACUACGUG
rnacentral:rRNA from 1 species